ensembl:processed_transcript Gm20616 predicted gene 20616
GAAGAGAAGAACAUACGGGGCAGCGAAGCGAAGGGGUGAUGUUGAAAAGCCCAGGCUCAGAGGGAGCUGGAGGAGGAAGACAAGGAACACAGCGGCCUGAAAAGGGAGGAAGAAGAAAGUGGAGGCAUCUGGCCAGCAGGUGUGUGCUCUGUGGGUUCACCCAGGUCCUCACGCAGACAGCUAUCUGAGGGGCUGCAAGGGAGGAAAAGCAAGGGGCGAAGUCAGCAAGGCUGAAAGAGAAAAAAAAACACCAAAGCCCACAGGCCUCCAGACUCGGAUGGGAACUAAACCACUUCUCCAUCCUGCUGACCAUAAACUGUGUGACCUGUCAGCCUGCAGAAUCACAUGAGCCAAUGAACUCCUCAGCAAAAACCUUGAAUCUCAUUGGUUUUGUUUCUCCAGAGAUCCUGGAUAUAUCUGCUGCUAUGCAUAUGUAUAUGUAUAUGCUGCUAUGCAAUAUCAUCUACAGGGGCGUAAAACCUCUACUGGUCUCAGGAGACAAGACCUUCAAGUAAAACAGGGUACCCUUGUAGGUUUUCUUCGGUUACUGCUAACCCUCAAAGCAAACAGUCUAAGAAGAGCUUUCUUUCUCAGAAAAGCUAUCCUUAGUACCUCUUAGA